UUUACAUGUGAGUUUUACAAAAAUGCUAGCUGCACUAAAUUAAAUGUAUUAAGCUCAAGUAUUUUAAGUU